rfam:Cucumis melo, WGS project CAJI01000000 data, contig: 04772
AUCCCUUCGGGGACAUCCGAUAAAAUUGGAACAAUAAAUAGAAGAUUAGCAUGGCACCUGCAAAUGGAUGACAUGCAUAAAUCGAAAAAUGGUCCAAAUUUUU